GUUCAUUCCAACAGCACAUAUACUAAAACUGGAAUGAUACAGAGAAGACAAGCAUGGCCCUUCAGCAGGAUAACACACAAAUUCAUUAAGCUUUCCAUAUUUAA